rnacentral:rRNA from 1 species
GAUGAACGCUGGCGGCGUGCCUAAUACAUGCAAGUCGAGCGAACAGACGAGGAGCUUGCUCCUCUGACGUUAGCGGCGGACGGGUGAGUAACACGUGGAUAACCUACCUAUAAGACUGGGAUAACUUCGGGAAACCGGAGCUAAUACCGGAUAAUAUAUUGAACCGCAUGGUUCAAUAGUGAAAGACGGUUUUGCUGUCACUUAUAGAUGGAUCCGCGCCGCAUUAGCUAGUUGGUAAGGUAACGGCUUACCAAGGCGACGAUGCGUAGCCGACCUGAGAGGGUGAUCGGCCACACUGGAACUGAGACACGGUCCAGACGCCUACGGGAGGCAGCAGUAGGGAAUCUUCCGCAAUGGGCGAAAGCCUGACGGAGCAACGCCGCGUGAGUGAUGAAGGUCUUCGGAUCGUAAAACGCUGUUAUUAGGGAAGAACAAAUGUGUAAGUAACUAUGCACGUCUUGACGGUACCUAAUCAGAAAGCCACGGCUAACUACGU